rnacentral:rRNA from 1 species
GACGAACGCUGGCGGCGUGCUUAACACAUGCAAGUCGAACGGUAAGGCCCUUCGGGGUACACGAGUGGCGAACGGGUGAGUAACACGUGGGUGAUCUGCCCUGCACUUCGGGAUAAGCCUGGGAAACUGGGUCUAAUACCGGAUAGGACCACUGCCUGCAUGGGGGGUGGUGGAAAGCUUUUGCGGGGUGGGAUGGGCCCGCGGCCUAUCAGCUUGUUGGUGGGGUGAUGGCCUACCAAGGCGACGACGGGUAGCCGGCCUGAGAGGGUGACCGGCCACACUGUGACGGAGAUACGGCCCAGACUCCUACGGGAGGCAGCAGUGGGGAAUAUUGCACAAUGGGCGCAAGCCUGAUGCAGCGACGCCGCGUGAGGGAUGACGGCCUUCGGGUUGUAAACCUCUUUCAGCACCGACGAAGCGCAAGUGACGGUAGGUGCAGAAGAAGGACCGGCCAACUACGUGCCAGCCGCCGCCGUAA